GGAGGUAUAGUAUAAUGGUCAGUAUGAUUGAUUGUGGUUCAAUAGAUGUGAGUUCGAUUCUCGCUACCUCCA